GUGUCAGCAGCCGCGGUAAUACGUAGGGAGCAAGCGUUGUCCGGAAUCAUUGGGCGUAAAGCGCGCGUAGGCGGCCCUGUAAGUCCGUUGUGAAAGUCAAAGGCUCAACCUUUGAAAGCCGAUGGAUACUGCAGGGCUAGAGUCCGGAAGAGGCGAGUGGAAUUCCUGGUGUAGCGGUGGAAUGCGCAGAUAUCAGGAGGAACACCAAUAGCGAAGGCAGCUCGCUGGGACGGUACUGACGCUAAGGCGCGAAAGCGUGGGGAGCGAACAGGAUUAGAUACCCUGGUAGUCCACGCCGUAAACGAUGGGCACUAGGUGUGGGAGGUGUCGACUCCUCCCGUGCCGUCGCUAACGCACUAAGUGCCCCGCCUGGGGAGUACGGCCGCAAGGCUAAA
rnacentral:rRNA from 1 species